rnacentral:rRNA from 1 species
AUACGUAGGGGGCGAGCGUUGUCCGGAAUUACUGGGCGUAAAGGGUGCGUAGGUGGCACUUUAAGUUGGAUGUGAAAUCCCCGUGCUUAACAUGGGAGCUGCAUCCAAUACUGGAGAGCUAGAGUGCAGGAGAGGUAAGCGGAAUUCCUAGUGUAUCGGUGAAAUGCGUAGAUAUUAGGAGGAACACCAGUGGCGAAGGCGGCUUACUGGACUGUAACUGACACUGAGGCACGAAAGCGUGGGGAGCAAACAGGAUUAGAUACCCUGGUAGUCCACGCUGUAAACGAUGAAUACUAGGUGUAGGGGGUAUCAACUCCCUCUGUGCCGCAGCAAACGCAAUAAGUAUUCCGCCUGGGGAGUACGGCCGCAAGGUUGAAACUCAAAUGAAUUGACGGGG